rnacentral:rRNA from 1 species
CAGUAGCCGCGGGAAAACCGAGGGUGCAAGCGUUAAUCGGAAUUACUGGGCGUAAAGCGCGCGUAGGUGGUUUGUUAAGUUGAAUGUGAAAUCCCCGGGCUCAACCUGGGAACUGCAUCCAAAACUGGCAAGCUAGAGUAGGGCAGAGGGUGGUGGAAUUUCCUGUGUAGCGGUGAAAUGCGUAGAUAUAGGAAGGAACACCAGUGGCGAAGGCGACCACCUGGACUAAUACUGACACUGAGGUGCGAAAGCGUGGGGAGCAAACAGGAUUAGAUACCCGCGUAGUCCCUGUCUCUUAUAC